CAGGUCUCUCAGCAGCUGGAGGACGAGGCAAGGCUGCUUCUGGGACCACCCACCACCUUGAUCCCACUGUCCAACGUCAGCCAAUCACAUAUGAUGUAUGUGACAGUGAAGGGAUGGGUAACAGCUAUGGAACCCUUGAAAAAAAUUAAAAAGGAGCAGAAUUUAGCAGUCCCUUUGCAGAUCAUCAAUAUCAAAGAGGAUGAGUCAGAGGUGAAGCUGGCACUCUGGGGAGA